UCAUCUUCUUCAACCUGGGAAAACAUUGAAGAUCUAAAAACAUCUAAACUUCACUCAAAACACACAGCCGCCGACCAACUCCACCAUUCUUGCCGCCAGUGAACUCCUCCAAACGACCACCCCUUCAGCCAUCUCCUCACCUGUCGCAGCUUCACUCACACUACACUCACCCGUCUCUCUCACGCCAGAAAACAUACAUAAAACAGCUGCACCCGACCUCAACACCCAAGGACUGCCCUCUCUCUGAAUAAGAUUUUAUAGAUAAAAAAAGAAAAAGAAAAACCUAGGGCCUAAUCUAGACGAAGAGCAGCGACAAUUCCUUCAGCUUAACCUCUAAGUCAUAGCCGUUUCCACCUUCUUCUCCUUUACAAAAAGAAGCAACCAUCCUCACCAACAACACCACCAAGGUUCCGACUCACCCCAGCUCCAAAACACAAAGCCAGCAACACCAAAAACACACAGAGGACGAAACUCGAUCUGGUCGGUCCUGAGUUUGAGUUGAAAAGGUCUGUCAAAGAGAUUCGCGGUCCGAGCUGCUACUACUGUUGCACUUUUGGGUCAGAUUUGGUUUUUCGGGAUUUGCUGUGACUAAAGUCACGUUUAAUACGAAGAAAUCUUUGAUGAGGUUCAAUUUUCUCUUAUCUCAUAUGUGCUUUGAUCUUUUCAUUAUUUUGUUUAUGGUUUUGGAAAGUUUCAUGUCCUGUUUUGUGUUUUAAUUUGCUUCCUUGAUUCACUGUAGUCUUUUGCAUUACUGUUAAUUUCGUAUUGGACUAGUUUGAAUUAAUUGGGUUAAACUUGAAGUGCAUCAAGAAUAUUAAGGCAAAUAAGUCACAAUUUGAUAAAAUGAAAAAAAUUGAAUUUUGUCAAGGGGUUGGUUUAAUACAAGCAUGGACUUUGUAAAGGCUUACUGGACCGACUGGGAGGGGAAUUAUAAAAUUUGAGCUUGGAUCAAUUUUCUUAGUUCUUUUUCUUGCUUUGUUGCUUUUAAUCGUUAGGAGCAUGUUUAGGCCGUUAAUAUUCGGGUAGGCAAACUCGAGGAUUUUGUUUGUUUAAUUUUGAGGUAAGAGGUCAUUUCCUUAAUUAAAUUUAUCUGGGUAAUGCCCCAAAGGAUUUGUAUAUAUUUUUAUCUGGGGUAUGACCCGUAGUAUCAUGUAUUUGGAGGUCAUGACGAACCUUGGGGAAAAGUAUAGUAUAUAUUAGUGUUUUGGACUUUAUUUUAAUUUUCUUUUCUAUUUUCUUUUAUUAGGUGGGGACGACCUCGAGCCUCUUGUGUGUUUAUUUCGUUUUGUGUAUUUUUGCCUCAAUUAGAAUAUCCUAUAAAACCGACUAGAUCAAGUAUGCAACCGUACUAGUUACGGGACUUGGGGAGUGCCUAACACCUUCUCCCCGAGUCAAAUGAACCCCUUACCCAAAUCUCUGGUGCAGACUUAGUUUUGGAGUCUAAAGUGUUUCAAAAGCAAAAUCAUUUUAAAAAAAACGGUGACCUGACACACCGAAAUCAAAUUUCAAGUGGCGACUCUGAGUUAUUUCCUUUUGAACACAAUUUUUGUCACGUUCUAAUUGGAAAACCUAUUUCAAGCUUUACAAAUCUUUUUAUUAAUUUAAGAGGGUUAGUGAAGUUUUGGUUAAAAAUGGAGUGUGACAAUAGUGGCCUGGUGAAAAACUUGGCGAGUAUGGGUCUUGUUAGCACAACUAUUGUGAAGCCACUUCUUGAGACAUUGUACCGGUGUGGGAUGCAAAAGUUAGUAGAUGAUAGUGCCACUUCAUUCCAUGGAAAGCAAAAGGAAUGAAGCGUCAUACCAGGUUGAAGUUAAGAGAGAUGAGCAGCAGUGUAAAGCCCACAUAUCUUCUGAUACGGGAAGAAUUUGGUUCCCUUCUCUCAUUGUUCCGAGCCAACAACAACAACAACAACAACAACAACAACAACAAUAACAACAACUCAUUAUAAUCUCACUUAAUGGGAAAAAGCUUUGAAAAAGAGCCAUGACAUAACUAAUAAAGUUGCUUCCAUAUGACCUUGUGGUCACUGGUUUGAACCAUGAAAAUAGGUGAUUAGAAGAGGAUAUAGAGAAGGGAAAGUGCUAAAAGUUGUUGAAGAAAGAAUGAGUGUAGUUUUUGUUUAAGUAACCCCUUAUUUAUAGAAAAACAAUGACGAAACUAACGGGCAUUCAAUGCUUUUGGGAAAAUGGACCAGCGGUACAUUCAGUGCUUCUGGGGAAUGAACCGACGGGACGUUUCGAUCACUUCGAAUGCCUACGCCACGAGCAUGACAUCAUCAUGAGAGGUUCGAGAAAAUCAAGGUCAAACGUUUCAUAUCAUUCUAUUCUAAGAAAUGCGGGGACUAUCUGUAUAUGGUCAAAAUCGAGGAGUAUGAUUUUGAAGGUUUAAAUCGGGCCAUAGGCCCAAGUCCGAGACUCGAAAUGGGUGUCGUAUCCGACUAAGAGACAUCUACCUCAGGAAAGCUGAUCGAGUGCCUGGCACGGACUGCAUCAAGGGGUAGCAUUAUCUCGAAAUCAAUCAAGAAAGAGCGGGAAUUUCUCAAGGACACGUGGAUCUGGACAUUAAUUAUAGGAUAAGGGUUGUACGAAGUGGUACAGGUUCGUACUAGGCCGUUAUACACCUGUACCAAUAGAAUUCUUUACCUUUGUGAGCAAGGUACUACUUAGGGGUUUUCUCCUCCUAUAUAAAGGAGACCCCAAUCAUUUUGGUAAGGCAUCAGACCAUUCACUACAAUAGAACAUUUUUAUUCUUCUCUUGUUUAGCGUGCUCUCCAAUUAUUCUUCAGCUUUAUUGUCUUUACUUUAUUGUUCAUACUUUAUUACUCUUAGUUGACCUCGAGGUCCCUGAAUUGUCGAGCUCGAGGCCCACUAUUGUUCCAACAACACUGAUUUGGUUCAUUAUUUCUUCUUACUUAAGCUCAAUAUUACUUGUAUAAUCGCUAGUAUUAGAAUAUAUCACGUAUCUUUAAAACCACAAAAUAUCUUUAAUUGUUACUCACAUCUUUCGAGGUAAACAGAAAUAUAAGUCUUAUGUUUUAUUUUUUUUGUUUUUUUGUGCUACGAUUACAUAAGGGCGAAUUAUAUCAUUCGUCUCUCGUAUAAUGUAUUGCAAAUCGGUGAUAAGAAAGAGAAUCCUACGAAAGGUGAAAAGAAGCAUAUUUUCAUUUUUCUCUAGGUUGUUGACGCAAGCUGCUGAUAGUCACCUUUUAUGACAUCAAUUAAUGAGAAUCUUUUGUUGUGGUAUGAUUGAAUGAUUAUAUAUAUAGCCAUCUAUGCAAAUAAUCAAACGGAUGAUAAUUUCACGAACUCAACAUUUUCAUCUUCUCCGUUAUGUUUUUGCCUAAUUGAGAAAUUAUUUUAUGAUAUUUUUUAGUGUUUGAGUGAUAUAUAGUCAAUAUUUUCUAGGUACUAAAGAUUUAUCACUUAUAAUAAUAUCUAUGUAAUUAGUUUUUAUAGAGAAGCCUUGAAAUAUUUGUAAAUGAAAUUGACUUCCAUCCAUACGUGCGAGAGAAAUCAUUUUUUGCAGGAAAAUAUUUUCCUUAAAACCAUAAUAUUUUUUAGAAUUCAAAGUAAACAAAAAUAUUGAAAUUUAUUUCCAAGAAAAAGAUUUUUGCUUGCCAUAUCAACGAUCUGAUUCUGGUAAUGGUUCUUAGCCUAUUCCAAAUAUUUAAGAAAAAACACAUGCAAUAUACUGAAACAUUUUGCCUAGAAGACACCUUUUGCUUUAUCAACGGUUUCAUAAACAGAAUCUUAUCUAUUCCAAAGAUAUGUCGUGAUUCUUUUAUAUUUGAUAUUUUAUCCACAAGUUCAACUUUAUGAAGAUCCUUUAGAACAUUUGAACACAGAAUAAAUUGUUAUCUUUUUACUUUUUGGGGGGGUGAGGGGUGGGGGGGGGGGAUAAUUAAAGUUGGAGGUUAACGAAGAUAAAAAGCUAGUGCAAUGUGGCGAUUUUUUAUGGAAAAAGGGUCAGAUUAGUCCUUUUACUUUCAAAAAUUAUUCAUAUACUAUGUGAACAGAUAUACCUCUACCGUUAGCAAAGUUUCAGUUUUUGCCCCUAACCCUAGUGGAAACACCUAAUCCACCAAAUCAAUCUUUUAUUUAUUUUCUAUAUUUAAUUUAUCAUAAAAUCAAAGAACUAAGUAAAUCUAUUAAAUUGGAGUCCAAUUUAAUGUUUAGUAGUUUAAAAUUUCUUCAACCACGGAAUUAGAAUAAAUGUAAAAAUGCUGAUUUGGAAUUUAAGCAAAGAAAAGACUCAAAUUUACAGAGUUUGCUUAUUUCUUUGAUAUUCUGAUAAAUAUAAAAAAUAAAUAAAAUAUUGAUUUGAUGGACCAGGGGUUUCCAUUUGAUAAAUUUGUUCUCAUAGAAUAACGGAUGUUAAAUAUAAAUAAUUUUUGAAAGUAAAGAAGUAAAUCUAACGCUUUUCAUCCACAGUUCUAAUAUUUAUAUGUAUAUACUUCCUUUUUUCUUUGACACUGCAGCAGCGGUUAAAGAUUAGAUGCUAUAUCGAUUGGUGUCUUUUCAGGAAUCUGAUUCUUCUAGCCCUGGAUAAGUUUCAUGUUACAGUCUUGUUGAGCAGAACUUUGCCAAAAUCCAGUAUAUAGGGAUAUUAAUUGGAUAAGCCAAUUUUUCUUAUAAAAUGUCUAUUAGUUGCGCUUGUCAAUGUUGGAGCUAAAAUAAGUCGGGGCGGAUCCAGUAGUAUAAAUAUGGGUUCAUUUGAACCGAUUACAUUUAGCCUAAAUUUGGAUUUAUCUAUGUAAAACUUUUUUUUUUGGUAAAUAUCUAUGUAAAACUUACUAGAAUUAUUUGUAAAUAUUAAAUUAUGAAUUCGGAA
rnacentral:lncRNA from 1 species